rnacentral:rRNA from 1 species
GUGUCAGCAGCCGCGGUAAUACGUAGGGUCCGAGCGUUAAUCGGAAUUACUGGGCGUAAAGCGUGCGCAGGCGGUUUUGUAAGCCAGAUGUGAAAGCCCCGGGCUCAACCUGGGAACUGCAUUUGGGACUGCAAGGCUUGAGUACGGCAGAGGGGGGUAGAAUUCCUGGUGUAGCAGUGAAAUGCGUAGAUAUCAGGAGGAAUACCGAUGGCGAAGGCAGCCCCCUGGGUCGAUACUGACGCUCAUGCACGAAAGCGUGGGGAGCAAACAGGAUUAGAUACCCUGGUAGUCCACGCCCUAAACGAUGUCAACUAGUUGUUGGGGGCCUUACCGCUCUUAGUAACGCAGCUAACGCGUGAAGUUGACCGCCUGGGGAGUACGGUCGCAAGAUUAAA